AGAGUUUGAUCAUGGCUCAGGAUGAACGCUGGCGGCGUGCCUAAUACAUGCAAGUCGUGCGGAAAGGCCACUUCGGUGGUACUCGAGCGGCGGACGGCAGAGUAACGCGUAGGAACAUACCCCAAACUGAGGGAUAACUGCUCGAAAGAGUAGCUAAUACCGCAUGUGAUCUUCGGAUUAAAGCUUCGGCGGUUUGGGAAUGGCCUGCGUCCGAUUAGCUUGUUGGUGAGGUAAUAGCUCACCAAGGCGACGAUCGGUAGCUGGUCUGAGAGGAUGAUCAGCCUGACUGGAACUGAGAACGGUCCAGACUCCUACGGGAGGCAGCAGUAGGGAAUUUUCCACAAUGGGCGAAAGCCUGAUGGAGCAACGCCGCGUGCAGGAUGAAUGCCUUCGGGUUGUAAACUGCUUUUAUUAGUGAAGAAUAUGACGGUAACUAAUGAAUAAGGGUCGGCUGACUACGUG
rnacentral:rRNA from 1 species